rnacentral:lncRNA from 10 species
UUGCCUCAGAGGAAGGGUGACCGAAGGAGAGCUCGAGAAACGGAAAGAGAAUGAGAACAGAGAGAGGAUAAAGAAAAGCAUACAAAAUAUUUAUUGCUGCAUUUCCGUGCCUUCUCCACAAUAUUGAGGCCUGAAUUAGGUAGGUAGUUGAAAUCUCUCUAAAAGUGAGUCAGAUAUUGUGUCCGGAAUUGGUGGGUUCUUGAUCGCACUGACUUCAAGAAUGAAGCCGUGGACCCUCGCGGUGAGUGUUACAGCUCUUAAGGUGGCGCGUCUGGAGUCUGCCCCUUCUGAUGUUCAGAUGUGUUCGGAGUUUCUUUCUUCUGGUGGGUUCGUGGUCUCUCUGGCUCAGGAGUGAAGCUGCAGAUCUUCGCGGUGAGUGUUACA